rnacentral:rRNA from 1 species
UACGAAGGGGGCUAGCGUUGCUCGGAAUCACUGGGCGUAAAGCGCACGUAGGCGGGUCUUUAAGUCAGGGGGGAAAUCCUGGAGCUCAACUCCAGAACUGCCUUUGAUACUGGCAAUCUCGAGUCCGGGAGAGGUGAGUGGAACUGCGAGUGUAGAGGUGAAAUUCGUAGAUAUUCGCAAGAACACCAGUGGCGAAGGCGGCUCACUGGCCCGGUACUGACGCUGAGGUGCGAAAGCGUGGGGAGCAAACAGG